CGGGAGGGUGCAAGCGUUAAUCGGAAUUACUGGGCGUAAAGGGUGCGUAGGUGGUUGGAUAAGUUAUCUGUGAAAGCCCCGGGCUCAACCUGGGAAGGUCAGAUAAGACUGUUCGACUCGAGUAUAGGAGAGGGUAGUGGAAUUUCCGGUGUAGCGGUGAAAUGCGUAGAGAUCGGAAGGAACACCAGUGGCGAAGGCGGCUACCUGGCCAGAUACUGACACUGAAGCACGAAAGCGUGGGGAGCAAACAGGAUUAGAUACCCUGGUAGUCCACGCCGUAAACGAUGUCAACUAGUUGUUGGUGAUAUGAAUAUCAUUAGUGACGAAGCUAACGCGAUAAGUUGACCGCCUGGGGAGUACGGUCGCAAGAUUA
rnacentral:rRNA from 1 species